CAGCCGCCGCGGUAAUACAGAGGGUGCAAGCGUUAAUCGGAAUUACUGGGCGUAAAGCGCGCGUAGGUGGUUCGUUAAGUUGGAUGUGAAAUCCCCGGGCUCAACCUGGGAACUGCAUCCAAAACUGGCGAGCUAGAGUAGGGCAGAGGGUGGUGGAAUUUCCUGUGUAGCGGUGAAAUGCGUAGAUAUAGGAAGGAACACCAGUGGCGAAGGCGACCACCUGGGCUCAUACUGACACUGAGGUGCGAAAGCGUGGGGAGCAAACAGGAUUAGAUACCCCCGUAGUCCCUGUCUCUUAUAC
rnacentral:rRNA from 1 species